rnacentral:lncRNA from 1 species
AUUGUAUUUCGUGAUUACCGGAUAAAAGCAGUAAAUGCAAGGCGAGAAUGCAAGGCGUGUUUGACAAAUUUAUAGCAUCAGUUUUUAUGCUCUCCGGGAAAACCUUGAAAUAACUGACAAUAUAUAAACGAGCGCAAACUCGUCAUUCAAAUGCGCAAUGCGUAAGUGAUGUGCUGGAAAUGUAGCGCACGUAAUACACGAGGACAGUAGGCGUACUUGAACAGAUACAGCAUAUUAAAAUACAUUUUAACAAGUGCAAUAUGUAUAAUCAACUAAGUGAUAUUUCUUUUGUGCUGCAGCGAUGAUAAACACGUGCCAGAAAAAUCUGAUAUCUUCCUCGUGGUUUCAUCGAAUGAGGUUUACCGCAUAAAUUCGCAGAAAUCUUUUGAGAGAAGCACGCUAAUUAUUAAAUUAUUAUUAUCGAUAUUUUAUCUUUGCCAUUAUUGGAUUUCAAGAGAGCGGUAAAAAUAAAAAUGCUCAGUAAUGAAAUAAUAAAUUAAAACGCAUGACUAAUAUUAUGCGUUAUAUAAAUUUACAGCUUAAUAUAAAUUAUCUCAUAAUGUUCAGUUAUUUAUAACAUGUUGUAUAAUUUGCAGCAUCUUUAUGUAUAUUAUCUGAUGUUAGAAAUAUACGUUUUACAAUUAAUCGUAAUUUCCCGUACCAAUUUAGUGCCGAGUCUAGCAUAUAAACCGGAAAUGACCAUGAAAACGUCCUUACCUAGUUCCAUCAAUUGCAGCAAUUCAAAUCGUUGCCUUCACCUGGUCUAGUAAAUGCAGAAUUCAUGGUUCAUUACGCACGAAUACAAGUUUCUUCUAAUAAUAAAUUAAUUCACUAAAUACAACAUAAGAAAAUCAUAAAUUGUUCAUAAACCAUAAACUGUUUUUAUAUAUUACGUUUUUAUUGCGUUUUUAAUCACACUUUUCUGUAUUACGAGAUGCUUUAAAUGAGCGUCCUUGUCAUUUUUGCGUCUCGUCAUACAAAUGUAAAAAAGAAAAUGGAUUUCGUUAUGAAAACGUUGAAUUUCAUACUUUUGACAUAGUUGUAAUUUAUAGUUUGUAUCAUGAAACAUAUUUCUAUAUAUUUUUUGUACAAUGGUACACGAUCGCAAUCCAUAAAACAUGAAAAAAACUGUACAUGAUGUGACGUUUACGUUAGUUGUAACAUUGUAAAGAUGUACGCUAAAUUAUAACGUGAUGGAGGGACUGCUUCCAGUUUUGGCCAUCGUUUUCUGCGUGAAUAAACUCCUCUGGCUAUCCUGCCUCGCUUUGGUGUGCCUGACGUCAAAUAAAUCCAGCAAACGGGCGACCUGCAAGAGAAACGAUCAACGAGAAUGAGAUUCUUGAGAAGGGAAAUUGCCACGCGGUGACUUCAAUGCCUGGCGUGCACGUUGCAGCGAAUCAACGACGUUCACGAUUUAAUUAUCAUUUCGUCGGAACGCAUGCAAUUACCGAAGAUGUUUUAAUAGAGGAGUACUUCCCCGGCGAAUCUCUGCCGCAGAAUUACGUAAUUAGUAUUUUGGUGAGCCGUUCUGAAGCGUUUGAUGCGAGACUGUGCGGGCAAAUUGAAUGGUGAGCGAGCCAUUGAUCUUCCUCCGAAAGGAGAUUAAAAAGGAAAUGCGAUGCAAGGAGAAAUGAAAGGUUGAAGAGUAAUAAUUUUGACGUAGUGUAAAUUAGAAGUUACGCAGAUGAAACAUACAUGUUGCGCAUCCAUUUGAUCUUUUCUCGUGUAUCAUUGUAAUUGCAAUCACGUGAAAAUAUAAUAGUGAUCAUUAUUAAGAGCACAUUGCAAUAGACAAUAAUUUUUGACGUCGUGUAUCAAAUUAUUUCUUUUUUAUUUUAUUUUCAAUGAGUUAAUCUGUUACAAAUGUUUAACAUCUCUGAUUAGUAGGUAAAAUAGUAUCGAUACCGGCAAUGGAAAGACGCGGAGGAUUUGCUGAGAAUCAUCGUACCUUCCUUCAAAAGAAUAUCAAGACGACGCAAGAGAUGGCGAUAGCUUCUUAUUUCGGGCAGGCGUGAAGACACAAGAUCCUUGGCAAGGAGGAGAGGAAGUGCCAUCAGCUUCUUUUUUUUGAUAGAUACAUGAAUAACCCAAUUAUUAUCAAGAAAUCCCAUUAAGAUAUUACUGAUGAAGAAGAAGAUGAAAUGGUUACAGUUUUAUGGCCAGAUCGAGAAUAAAUGUUUGUUCAUGAAUUAUUUAGACGCAACUUCAAACAAAUGCACCAAAUUUGUUUGCUCUUUCGCACAUUGGAGUGAUGAACAAAAAAUGCCAAAGGAAACGUGUAUAUGCAGUUCGACCAUCGUUAGCGAAGCGAGCAUAUCCGCUGAUUGUUACCGGCGGAAAUAAUCCUUUAUUCGAUGUGAUUGAACGUCAUGCCCUUCCAGCUGUGAAAAAUUACGUAAAACUAAGCAAGAUCGACGCUGCCAGCCAUGAAUUAAGGAAGAGAGGAAGUAAUGAAAAAACGUAGUACAAGAGGAUACGCUUAUGACGAAUCACUUUUUCUUGUCAUUACCGCCUUUUUUCCCCGAGAUCUCGCUAGACCGGCUCAUUUCCGGUUGAUGCUCGUCAGGAAUGACCAGACCUCGAGCAAUUUCUCGCUUAAUUGAGCUUCCAAUUAGUCAGAUAAAUGUAUCAGAUACGAUUAAUAUUAUCGAUAAAUUGUUAAUUACUGUAACAAUAAUGUCCUUUUACUUGAAGUAAUCUACUUAAUUGCGCAACAUUCCAGUUUGUCAUUUUGCUUCAGCUUCUUCAUUUUCUUCUCCGACGAAAAGCGAUCGAAGCAAGAUUGCAGAUGAACGUUAAUUACGUGUGACGCAAUAUACGUGAAAAUCUGCUUGCAGAUUUAUUUAUUUCGCUAAUUCGUAUAUAACGACAGUGUCCGCCGAUGCAAUCCUCAGAAAGGAUCUAUCGAAUCGUAAAUCUUUCUAACGUAUAAUCCUUCCGAACGCGUUUAAGUGCGCAUAAUUAUCGCCUACUUUGCGUAUCUGUUAUUCACCGAUGUAGUAUAUAUAGCGUAAAUUGAUGAUAAACUCUUGCGAGUUUCCUCUUGAGCUUCUCACGCGGCUUUGAUCAUUUUCGAUUGCGUUCUCCAAUGGAUUAUGCGAAUAAAAUCACGCGACGCGGUUUCGUGUCCCUCUGCUAAUCGCUCGUUAUAUAUCGAAUUAACGCUUAUCUCUUCUUCUCAGCGUCGCGCGCCUACACAUAUCCAAAGAAAGGUCAGGGGAAGAGGAAAAGGACUGUGCACAG